rnacentral:lncRNA from 1 species
GGGUAGCCAUCGUAUCCGACUCAGCUUGAUUCUUUUGCUUCUUGAGAUUGCGCAAAGUAGCGUUAAUUUCAGGAUCAAGCUCAAAAAGAGGAUUCUCGUGAGAUCUUGUGUUCAUGCGAAACCUACAAAAUCACACUUAUAAAUUAGAAAAGAAAAAAAUAAAAACAAAUAAAAACCUGAAGUACUAUAAAGUCCUAUCGGAAAUAUUAAAGUAACUUUUAAUCAGUCCCCGGCAACGGCGCCAAAAAAUUGAUCACUUGGUCUCAAGGUUAUCUACUAACUCCC